rnacentral:tRNA from 1 species
GGGAAGGUAAACUAAUUUAAGUUUUUAGGCUCAUAACCUGACCAUAGUGUAUAAUCUUCUUCCUG